GAUGAAGAACGUAGCGAAAUGCGAUACGUAAUGUGAAUUGCAGAAUUCAGUGAAUCAUCGAGUCUUUGAACGCACAUUGCGCCCCCUGGUAUUCCGGGGGGCAUGCCUGUCCGAGCGUCAUUGCUGCCCUCAAGCACGGCUUGUGUGUUGGGCCUCCGUCCUCCUCCCGGGGGACGGGCCUGAAAGGCAGCGGCGGCACCGCGUCCGGUCCUCGAGCGUAUGGGGCUUCGUCACCCGCUCUUGUAGGCCCGGCCGGCGCUUGCCGACACAUCAAUCUUUUUUCCAGGUUGACCUCGGAUCAGGUAGGGAUACCCGCUGAACUUAAGCAUAUCAAUAAGCGGAGGA
rnacentral:misc_RNA from 1 species